rnacentral:rRNA from 1 species
UGGGGGAUAUUGCACAAUGGGCGAAAGCCUGAUGCAGCGACGCCGCGUGGGGGAUGAAGGCUUUCGGGUUGUAAACCUCUUUCGCUAUCGAACAAGGCCCGCUUAGGGUGGGUUGAGGGUAGGUGGAGAAGAAGCGCCGGCUAACUACGUGCCAGCAGCCGCGGUAAUACGUAGGGCGCGAGCGUUGUCCGGAAUUAUUGGGCGUAAAGGGCUUGUAGGCGGCUUGUUGCGCCUGCUGUGAAAACGCGGGGCUUAACUUCGCGCGUGCAGUGGGUACGGGCAGGCUCGAGUGUGGUAGGGGUGACUGGAAUUCCAGGUGUAGCGGUGGAAUGCGCAGAUAUCUGGAGGAACACCGAUGGCGAAGGCAGGUCACUGGGCCAUUACUGACGCUGAGGAGCGAAAGCAUGGGUAGCGAACAGG